AUCAGCAUGGUGUAGUGGUUUGAGUGUUAGACUAUGACUCUGGAGAGCAGGGUUCAAAUCCCAGUUUGACC